rnacentral:lncRNA from 1 species
CCCUAAUCACUCUAAAACCCUAUCUGUCCAGAAUCAAAUUUGAGCAACUCUACAUUGUGAAGUGUCUCCAAUUGUGCUCAAAUUUGGUGGACAUUUUCCAGUACUCCAAUGAGGCAUCCACACCAAGUGGUACACCAAGGAGAAUUGAGGAACUUGUCCUAAAACCCUCAAAACCCUCUUUGUUGAUUUCUGACUUUGACAAACUUUACAUUAUAAAGUUUGUCCAAUUGACCUCAAAC